rnacentral:rRNA from 1 species
UACGUAGGGGGCAAGCGUUGUCCGGACUCAUUGGUCGUAAAGCGCGCGUAGGUGGCCCGGUAAGUCCGCUCUGAAAGUCAAAGGCUCAACCUUUGAAAGCGGGUGGAUACUGUCGGGCUAGAGUCCGGAAGAGGCGAGUGGAAUUCCUGGUGUAGCGGUGAAAUGCGCAGAUAUCAGGAGGAACACCGGUGGCGAAGGCGGGUCUCUGGGCCGAUACUGACGCUGAGGAGCGAAAGCGCGGGGAGCGAACAGG